rnacentral:tRNA from 1 species
GGAGACGUGACCGAGCGGCCGAAGGAGCCACCCUGGAAUGGUGGUGCAGGGUUAAUUCUCUGCCGAGGGUUCAAAUCCCUCCGUCUCCGCCG